rnacentral:rRNA from 1 species
AACGAACGCUGGCGGCAGGCUUAAUACAUGCAAGUCGAGCGCCCCGCAAGGGGAGCGGCAGACGGGUGAGUAACGCGUGGGAAUCUACCCAUCUCUACGGAGUAACGCAUGGAAACGUGUGCUAAUACCGUAUACGUCCUUCGGGAGAAAGAUUUAUCGGAGAUGGAUGAGCCCGCGUUGGAUUAGCUAGUUGGUGGGGUAAAGGCCUACCAAGGCGACGAUCCAUAGCUGGUCUGAGAGGAUGAUCAGGCACACUGGGACUGAGCCACGGCCCAGACUCCUACGGGAGGCAGCGGUGGGGAAUAUUGGACAAUGGGCGCGAGCCUGAUCCAGCCAUGCCGCGUGAGUGAUGAAGGCCCUAGGGUUGUAAAGCUCUUUCACCGGUGAAGAUAAUGACGGUAACCGGAGAAGAAGCCCCGGCUAACUUCGUGCCAGCAGCCGCCGUAACAC